GAUGAAGAACGUAGCGAAAUGCGAUAAGUAAUGUGAAUUGCAGAAUUCAGUGAAUCAUCGAGUCUUUGAACGCACAUUGCGCCCUCUGGUAUUCCGGAGGGCAUGCCUGUCCGAGCGUCAUUGCUGCCCUCAAGCACGGCUUGUGUGUUGGGCCCCGUCCUCCUUCCGGGGGACGGGUCCGAAAGGCAGCGGCGGCACCGCGUCCGGUCCUCAAGCGUAUGGGGCUUUGUCACUCGCUUUGUAGGCCUGGCCGGCGCUUGCCGAUCAACCAAACUUUUAUCAGGUUGACCUCGGAUCAGGUAGGGAUACCCGCUGAACUUAAGCAUAUCAAUAAGCGGAGGA
rnacentral:misc_RNA from 1 species